GCCGUCACCCCCAUCUCAUAACACCCAGCCCGACCACCCAGCCCGGCCCGGCCCAUUGCUUUAAAACCCCCAAACCCUAGCUACCUAUCUCUCUCUCACGCCUCCCACCUCUACCAGCCGCACCAUCUCUCCUUUCCCUCUCCAAUUGCUCGCCGUCCACCACACCCGCCGCCGCUCAACCACCACCGCCAGCCCACCAGCAACCAUAACCACCACCUCCCUCAACCACCCCCAUCUAUCUCUCUCACUCACACCCAUCCGCCUCCCUCAACUAUCUCUCUCUCUCUUCCUUCCACCAGCCGCCAACUCCACCAGCCGCCACCGAGAACCGCCACCACUUCCUCGCCGUCCAGCUUCCGCGCCGUCAACUCCUCCCGCCGCUCAAGGCCGCUACCAUCAGCACGUCCGCCUCCGUGAGUCACGUCCGCCGCCGCCUCCACGUCCGCAGCCGUCUACCACUGCCACCGCUGCCUCCUCCCGCCGCUCACGUCCGCCGCCGUCAACACGUCCGCAGCCGUGAGUCACGUCCGCCCUUAGCACAGCCGCAUCGUCUGCUUCCAUCUACAUCAUUCCAUGGCACCCUUCAAAACUUACAAGCGCCUCCGUCGCCUCAUAGUAGACGAAGACGAGGAUGCGGCCCCAAAUAACACUCCGGCCUCUUCUAGCCGCAAUCCGGCAUCUUCUAGCCGCCCACCGUCCUCGCCUAUCAGAAUUCCCCGCCCUCCCACGCCACCAAAGGAUAUCCGAAAUGUUUACAAUGCCCCAUUUGCAAUCUUUGAAGAUUGGGAGGGCACUCGGUGGAAAGCUCUUAAAGGAAAGAAAGUCACUCAACCGCGAUGUCUUGAUUGGCCGUUGCUCCG
rnacentral:lncRNA from 1 species